CAGAAAAACCUUGGCAGGCUGAGAAAUGGGCCAACAGUAGCUUCAUGAAGUUCAAUACAGGGAAAAGGUGAAGUGCUGAACUUGGCAGGAAUAAUCCUGUGCGUGUUGGCAGAAAAGGACUUGAGAGAGAACAAGCUGGCCAUGAGCCAGCAGCAUGACCUCACAGUAAAGAAGUUGCACAGCAACCCACGCUGCAUGUGGAAGAGCAACACCCACACAGUGAGGGAGACCAUCCCUCCUCUCUGCUCAGCACUGGUGAGCCACCCUGAAUGCUGUAGUGGGUGGCUCAGAACUGGGCCCAAGAAAAAGUGUUACUGCAGCAAGGCCAGCUAAAGUUUAUGGAGAUAUUCAAAACCCAGCUGGAGGUCUUCCUGUGUUACCUGCUCUAGCUGACUCUGCCUUGGCAUGGGGGUUGGACCAAAUGAUCUCCAGAGGUUGCUUUUAACCCUAACAAUUCUGUGAUUCUGUAAUUUUGAAAGACAAACAUUUUCCCCAAUAAUUCCUGCUGCUAACACUCCUAGUUUCCCAUGAGAAAGCAGAACGUAAAAAAACAUAGAACUUCAGAUAGGUAUUCAUAUCUGAUAUUAAAUAUGUAUUAAUAACCAAUGCAUCAAAUGUAUUUCCUUUCAUAAUGGAAUGGUAUACUGAAAAGCCAACAAACUUUUCUCUGACCACUCAAAAUAGUUGGCUAACAUGCACACUAAAAAUGUGAAUCACCUGCAUGGUGUUCAGUGGAACAGAAUUUCAUGUCAUUCUAUACUACAGGAAAACACCAACACUUUUGUAAGCAUUAAUAGGUUUAUGACAGCAUCUCCCAAAGAAUUGUUCCACUCAUGUGGAGACAUCAACCAGUGGAAUAAUUUUUAUAAGUCAUGAAGAACAGAACCACAAUUAGACUGUAGAAAAUCUGAAGAAAUAUUUUAUAAUCAACAGAUUACUUAGAGGAAAAAAAAAACUCUUUUAGCAGUUGAAGUCAUACAUCUUCAAGGGAUCAGAUAAAGCUUUUAUUUUUCCAUAAGCUUUUUCUUUCUGCAAGUUUGAAUUUGGGUUGUUGAAAAGAAAUUACUACUAAUUAUAUUUUAAAAUUUCUAAUGACAUAUUUCCUUAGAGAAAAAGUAAACAGCAUGUGCCUAUUUUAUUUGUUGCCAGGCAGAACAAAGAACACAAGUUAAACAGAAAUAGAGUAUAUUUUUGCACACAGGUACUCAUACAAAGGCAUGUUAUAUGUACAUAGUCACAUGGGCAUCUUUUGUGUUCAUGUUGCUAUGGAAACAAACUUGCAUGUAAUCAAACAUGAUUACAAAGACAUUCUAGCUCUUAGAGUAUGAGUCUUUUCAUUCUUAAAUCAAGGAUAAAAGCUGCUUUAUAAGAUUAUAGAAGAGAUGCCAGUAGUAAAGAGCAUCUGAAGCUAACAAAAUUAUAAUAUCUGAAACACAAAGAUUUUUCAUUUAAUACUGUUUGUGUACUUAAAUGUAACUUCAGAGACUAGCCCAAAACAGCAGCAGAUUAUGACAGAGUAAGGACACUACAGAUUUUGCAUACACAGAAGAUGUGGCAGAUAAACCUAGCAUUUUCUUUGAUUUCUUGAAAACAAAAUUUAUAGGAAACUUUCACCGUGGAACUACUCAUAUCAAACAGCAUGCCCA